UACGAAGGGGGCUAGCGUUGCUCGGAAUCACUGGGCGUAAAGGGCGCGUAGGCGGCGUUUUAAGUCGGGGGUGAAAGCCUGUGGCUCAACCACAGAAUGGCCUUCGAUACUGGGACGCUUGAGUAUGGUAGAGGUUGGUGGAACUGCGAGUGUAGAGGUGAAAUUCGUAGAUAUUCGCAAGAACACCGGUGGCGAAGGCGGCCAAACUGGACCAUUACUGACGCUGAGGCGCGAAAGCGUGGGGAGCAAACAG
rnacentral:rRNA from 1 species